GAGCAAGAGCCCAGCCUCACAACAUUUUAAAACUACAUAGUAUAGCUUAACCAGAGUUUAUAUUAACAUGUAUAAACGUGUUUUUGAAACAUGAUAUCUGAAUUUGUACAUGUAUAAGAAAGGUCGUAUAUAUACGAGUGUGUAUAACUAGAUGUGGUCGUUGAAUUUGUAUAACCAGAUGAAUGCUUAUCCAAUCAGCAACAACAGAGUGGCAAGAAUCCAUAGCUAAUCAAACUUUCUCAUAUUGAAGUUUGAUUCUGAGUACUAAGAAAGAGCAACCUUUACCUCAUUACGUAUUUAAUAUUUCCCCAAUCUGCUACACUUUUUGCACGGAGUUUGUACUAAUAGCCCGUUUCAUAAGAGAUUUAUACUCUUGACUUCUUGACCACUCAUCUAUCUCACGGGCUCUUAGUACUGGAAGGGGAUGUGAAAGUUGUCUUGUUUGUGCGUUUCUAGAUGAAAAAAAGAGAGAAGUUAUGGUUAUGUUAUAUCUCUAAAUGAGUCAAGUGGGUAUAACGGGUCAAAUGGGAUGAAAGUUGGUCAAAGUGUAUUCUUGAUGCAUAAAACCCCUGUAAAUCACAUUAUGCGAUGAACUGAAAUGUUACUAAAAUAAUUAGAUUAAGUACUCAUAUAUAAUUUAAUACAUUAUAUAUUUAUAAGAAAUUUAAGUGUUUUGGACAAAUGUCUUCAAGAUCAACAUUUUAAGUGUUUUGGCCGGUAAAAAAAUUACUCAUUUUGACCCAAACCCAUUUUGACCCGUUACCAAAAAUGCCCAUAUUACAGAGCUCUUAUUUACCUUAUAUACCAUCCUACUGGACUUGCAGCUGCCUUUUCAUAAGAUCGUGCUUGUUCUAGAAAAGCAUCCACGUUUAAUUGAUCAGCCAAAGACGGGGAUCCUCCAGCAAGUUUCAUUAGAACAGACAUGACCACCUCUUGUAGGACAUGAAAGAAAAAUUAAAAAUAAUAAAAAACAUAAAAGUUAGUUAUUAAAAAAACUUCCUUAUGGAAUACCUUGGGAUCUUGAACUACAAGAAGAGCAGCCCGAUCACAAGUAUCGUAUAG
rnacentral:lncRNA from 1 species